rnacentral:tRNA from 2 species
GGGGAGAUACUCAAGCGGCCAACGAGGACAGACUGUAACUCUGUUGUCUUUCGACUUCGCAGGUUCGAAUCCUGCUCUCCCCACAA